CUAACCAGGAUUCUCUUAGUAACGGCGAGUGAACAGAGAUUAGCCCAGCACUGAAGCCUAUAGCUUGCUAUAAGGCAAUGUGGUGUUUAGAGUUGCAAUUAAAUUCACUCUCAGAUCUUAAGUACGCAUGUGAAAGCGGCUUGCUCAGGAAGGUGGAAGUCCUGUUUACGAUCUGAGAUGUGUCUUUCUUUGCCUCUCUUGGAGUCGGAUUGUUUGAGAAUGCAAUCCAAAGUUGGUGGUAAACUCCAUCAAAGGCUAAAUACCUGUGUGAGUCCGAUAGUCGACAAGUACCGUGAGGGAAAGUUGAAAAGUACUCUAAAUAGAGAGUAAACAGUACGUGAAACCAUGAAGAGGUAAACGGAGAGAGUCAAGCUUUAUGGCUUGCAAGGUUAAACUCACAUAGAGAUGUUAAUAGUGUGUGGUGGUUAAUUAGUGCUAGUACUUUCGAGUGACCAAGUUGUUGGUCUCGAGUGUUAAAGCACCACACUAUUGUUUGUGAAUCCUUGCAUGCUAGCACCACAGUCUUUCCUAUCGAAGACAUUAUGUGUAAAGCUAUGCUUGUACUUCGGUGCAAGUGUGGUGUACAGUGGUUGCGUGUGAAAGCGCAGCUUAACAAUCUUCGGGUUGUCUACACAAAUUGUCAAUUCGUUUGGAUUGCUCUCAGUCUGCUGUAUUGGUUAAUCUUGUUUGUUGGCUCAGUUAAGAUUGCCUUCGGGAUCUUAGCAAAAGUGAAUAAAUUGGUUGAUUAGUGCUCAGAUUAAAUCUGUGGGUCGAAAG
rnacentral:rRNA from 1 species